rnacentral:rRNA from 1 species
GUAAGGUGAGAGGAAGGUGGGGAUGACGUCAAAUCAGCACGGCCCUUAUGUCCAGGGCUACACACGUGUUACAAUGGUCGGUACAAAGGGCAGCUACACCGCGAGGUGAUGCUAAUCCUCUAAAGCCGGUCUCAGUUCGGAUCGAAGUCUGCAACCCGACUUCGUGAAGUUGGAUUCGCUAGUAAUCGCGCAUCAGCCAUGGCCGCGGUCGAAUACGUUCCCGGGCCUU